CAGCGCUCCCGGGUCCUCGUGGCCCAGAUGUAGUAAAUGGUCAUGGUUUUGUUCUUAGGCUGCUCCCACACCACCAUCAAGUUCUGCAGCUGUCAAAUGAAACGACUCAGGCGAAGAGCUCCAACCACCGCCCUCUCCGUGCUGAGCAUUCGCUGCCUCCACUGCCACAUGCACAGAUUCUAAAAAAGCGAUGAAAGGGCGGAACACUUACUUCCUCCGAGACAGGGAUGCUUUCUUCUGAUCCAGGGUCACUGAUGAGUCAGAUGCAUGAGCUGUGCCCCGAUCUGCCUGCCUGUCUAGGACCCACCCUCUUCACUGGGCUUGGAGCUUCUCGGGAGAGCACUGAUGAGAACCAGACCAGCCAGCGUUCAAAUCCCUGCUCUUUCACUUAGUAGGGGUGUGACUGACAAAAUGACAUUUUCUCUCCCUGAACCCCAGUUUCCACAUCUAUAAAAUGUGGGUAUAAAUACCUAAUUCACAGGGCAUUUGUGAGGAUUAGAUAAAAAUAACAUGUGUUGAAUGCGUAACACAAAGUACCUGCUUGCUAACACUAACAUGACCUAUAUCUACACACACUUCUGUGUGGUCACACACAUCCACAGGGCGUGUUUAAUCCUGUGUGUGGGUGUGUGUUUAAUCUCUGUACCCCCCAGACCCAGCACAGUGCAUGGCGUGUACUACAAACCACACAAGGCUGAAGAGGGGGGUGGCCUCUCCCAGAAGAUGAACGUGUUUAUGACAGAUGGCAGGACACACAUUGCAAGUGUGUACAACUUACAGCAAGACAAUAUGCUGUAAAUAAGAAGGAAGCGCAAAGAUGCUGAUGAUUAAUUCUCCUUUUCCAGGGGAAGGUUUGAUUCAGCUAGAAAUGUAGAUUUACUCAUUGUCCUACAAAAUAAAUCCCGAUAAACAAUUACAUCACAAAACACACCAGAGUUCUAGUCCUGUAAGCUCCUGUUAUCACAGUCCUUUAAAAAAAACACCCUGCCUUCAAUACACUUUCCUAACAAAUCCCUUAACAUGGGAUCUACACUGACUCCAUUUCAGUUUGAAUAAACAAGGCUAGUAAAAUUAAACACAUGAGAGAUUCCAAGCACAGAGGUACUGACUCCAUUAUAAGAAAAAAGCACACUAUGUCAAAAUUGAAAUAGGAAAAAAGCUAAGAACAUGUAUGCUUUCAACUCUUCAAUUUACUUACAGUCACCUAAGCAAAC
rnacentral:lncRNA from 1 species